CGCUGGCGGCGUGCUUAACACAUGCAAGUCGAACGAUGAAGCCCUUCGGGGUGGAUUAGUGGCGAACGGGUGAGUAACACGUGGGCAAUCUGCCCUUCACUCUGGGACAAGCCCUGGAAACGGGGUCUAAUACCGGAUAACACUCCUGCCUGCAUGGGCGGGGGUUAAAAGCUCCGGCGGUGAAGGAUGAGCCCGCGGCCUAUCAGCUUGUUGGUGGGGUAAUGGCCUACCAAGGCGACGACGGGUAGCCGGCCUGAGAGGGCGACCGGCCACACUGGGACUGAGACACGGCCCAGACUCCUACGGGAGGCAGCAGUGGGGAAUAUUGCACAAUGGGCGAAAGCCUGAUGCAGCGACGCCGCGUGAGGGAUGACGGCCUUCGGGUUGUAAACCUCUUUCAGCAGGGAAGAAGCGAAAGUGACGGUACCUGCAGAAGAAGCGCCGGCU
rnacentral:rRNA from 1 species